rnacentral:rRNA from 1 species
UUGGGCGCUAGGUGUGGGACUCAUUCCACGAGUUCCGUGCCGCAGCUAACGCAUUAAGCGCCCCGCCUGGGGAGUACGGCCGCAAGGCUAAAACUCAAAGGAAUUGACGGGGGCCCGCACAAGCGGCGGAGCAUGCGGAUUAAUUCGAUGCAACGCGAAGAACCUUACCAAGGCUUGACAUAUACCGGAAACAUCCAGAGAUGGGUGCCCCUUUUAGGUCGGUAUACAGGUGGUGCAUGGUUGUCGUCAGCUCGUGUCGUGAGAUGUUGGGUUAAGUCCCGCAACGAGCGCAACCCUCGUUCUAUGUUGCCAGCACGUGAUGGUGGGGACUCAUGGAAGACUGCCGGGGUCAACUCGGAGGAAGGUGGGGAUGACGUCAAAUCAUCAUGCCCCUUAUGUCUUGGGCUUCACGCAUGCUACAAUGGCCGGUACAAAGGGCUGCGAAACCGUAAGGUGGAGCGAAUCCCAAAAAACCGGUCUCAGUUCGGAUUGGGGUCUGCAACUCGACCCCAUGAAGUCGGAGUCGCUAGUAAUCGCAGAUCAGCAACGCUGCGGUGAAUACGUUCCCGGGCCUUGUACACACCGCCCGUCAAGUCACGAAAGUCGGUAACACCCGAAGCCGGUGGCCCAACCCUUGUGGGGGGAGCCGUCGAAGGUGGGACUGGCGAUUGGGACUAAGUCGU